rnacentral:rRNA from 1 species
CCUACGGGAGACAGCAGUGAGGAAUAUUGGUCAAUGGGCGAGAGCCUGAACCAGCCAAGUCGCGUGAAGGAUGACGGCCCUACGGGUUGUAAACUUCUUUUGUCAGGGAGCAAUUGGGUCCACGCGUGGGCUUAGCGAGAGUACCUGAAGAAAAAGCAUCGGCUAACUCCGUGCCAGCAGCCGCGGUAAUACGGAGGAUGCGAUAGUUAUCCGGAUGUAUUGGGUUAAAAGGGUGCGUAGGCGGAAUAUCAAGUCAGCGGUAAAAAUUCGGGGCUCAACCCCGUCGUGCCGUUGAAACUUAGGUUCGUGAGUGGGCGAGAAGUAUGCGGAAUGCGUGGUGUAGCGGUGAAAUGCAUAGAUAUCACGCAGAACUCCGAUUGCGAAGGCAGCAUACCGGCGCCCAACUGACGCUGAAGCACGAAAGCGUGGGUAUCGAACAGGAUUAGAUACCCUUGUAGUC